AGAGUUUGAUCAUGGCUCAGGGUGAACGCUGGCGGCGUGCUUGACACAUGCAAGUCGAACGGUAUGUGGCAACACAUAGAGUGGCGAACGGGUGAGUAACACGUGGGAACGUAUCUUUUGCAGGGGGAUAACUGACCGAAAGGACAGCUAAUACCGCAUAAGUCCGGGAGGAGAAAGGUGCAACAGCAUCGGCAGAAGAGCGGCCCGCGGUCCAUCAGCUAGUUGGUGAGGUAAGGGCUUACCAAGGCGACGACGGAUAGCCGGCGUGAGAGCGUGGCCGGCCACAAGGACACUGAGAUACGGGUCCUACUCCUACGGGAGGCAGCAGUGCGGAAUUUUAGAUAAUGGAGGGAACUCUGAUCUAGCGACGCCGCGUGCAGGAAGAAGGUCUUCGGAUUGUAAACUGCUGUGGUAAGGGAAAAAUGCUAUGUAGAGUGGAAAGCUACAUAGAGGGAUGGUACCUUACUAGAAAGCCCCGGCUAACUACGUGCCAGCAGCCGCGGUAAUACGUAGGGGGCGAGCGUUACCCGGAAUCACUGGGCGUAAAGGGAGCGUAGGUGGCCUAACAUGUCAACUGUGAAAACCCGGAGCUCAACUCCGGACUUGCAGUUGAAACUGGUAGGCUUGAGGACGGUAGAGGAAGACGGAACUGCCAGUGUAGGGGUAAAAUCCUUAGAUAUUGGCAGGAACGCCGGUGACGAAGGUGGUUUUCUGGGCCGGUUCUGACACUGAUGCUCGAAAGCCAGGGGAGCGAACGGGAUUAGAUACCCCGGUAGUCCUGGCCCUAAACGAUGUUCACUAGGUGUGGGGAGCGGAAAGCUCUCCGUGCUAAAGCUAACGCGAUAAGUGAACCGCCUGGGGAGUGCGCCCGCAAGGGUGAAACUCAAAGGAAUUGACGA
rnacentral:rRNA from 1 species